rnacentral:rRNA from 1 species
CAAACUGGAGAUGGCGACCGGCGCACGGGUGAGUAACACGUAUCCAACCUGCCGAUAACUCGGGGAUAGCCUUUCGAAAGAAAGAUUAAUACCCGAUGGCAUAAUAGAACCGCAUGGUUUGAUUAUUAAAGAAUUUCGGUUAUCGAUGGGGAUGCGUUCCAUUAGGCAGUUGGUGGGGUAACGGCCCACCAAACCUUCGAUGGAUAGGGGUUCUGAGAGGAAGGUCCCCCACAUUGGAACUGAGACACGGUCCAAACUCCUAACGGGAGGCAGCAUG